CUUGCCGACAUGCUGCUCCACAUUUCUUGCUGAGCCUUCUGAGCAGCGUCCCUCAGGGGGCUUCAUCACUGCAGCUUCAAGGGGAAGACAAGACAUGCCCCAUUUUUAUGCCACUAACCGCCGGAUGAUGACAGUAACUUUGCUGAAAUACAUUUCCAGGGACACCUUUGAUUGGCUCUGUUCUUCAUAUUCAAAAACAAUGGCAAGCAGCAGGAAAGGAGGCUCUAUAGGAUGAUUUAUGACCUUCAAAAUGAAUAACCCAGCAAAAAGACCAUAUCACCAGAAACACUGCACUCAGAGAUGCAGCAUUCCAAGCACUACAUUAAAUGCAUGGCUGAAUUCUCAUGAGGUUACAUUAUACAGAAAAUGGUGGAAAACAAUGAAAGACCGAGUGAAAGGCAAAACAUUUGAAUACAUCUGCUUCAGUCUUUUCUUCCUUUGUCACUCUGUCACUAUCAAACCAAAGUAGACUUGUGGAGCAGCAAAAAAAUUGUGUAAGGACUUUAAAAAAAAUGAGUGUGGAGAAUACAUACUAAGUACAUAACUUGGGAACAAAAUGAGAAUAGAAUUCUGAAUGGAAAUAAGUAUCUGAUGAAAAUACCAAUUGCGGCAGUUUUAGACAGUUAGGGGUAAAAUACGUAUUUAUGGAACCGAAGUAAACAGCAGGUUUAGGCCAACAGACUUAUUAUACACAAGAAAAAAGACUUAAUCACAAGUGGAAAAAAUAUGUUUUAUUUGUGUAUUCUGUUGGAGGGUGUUAGCACUACUGUUUUAA